rnacentral:rRNA from 1 species
GACGAACGCUGGCGGCGUGCUUAACACAUGCAAGUCGAACGGAAAGGCCCUGCUUUUGUGUGUUGCUUGAGUGGCGAACGGGUGAGUAACACGUGAGUAACCUGCCCUUGUCUGUGGGAUAACUUCACGAAACUGGGGCUAAUAUCGCAUAGGAUCUCCUGCUGCAUGGUGUGGGUAGGAAAGUUUCGGCGGUUGGGGAUGUACUCGCGGCUUAUCAGCUGGUUGGUGAGGUAGUGGCUUACGAAGGCUUUGACGGGUAGCCGGCCUGAGCGGGUGAACGGCCACAUGGGGACUGCGAUACGGCCCAGAAGCCUACGGGAGGCAGCAGUGGGGAAUAUGGCACAAUGGGCGGAAGCCUGAUGCAGCAACGCCGCGUGCGGGAUGACGGCCUUCGGGUUGUGAACCGCUUUCGCCUGUGACGAAGAGUGAGUGACGGUAAUGGGUAAAGAAGCACCGGCUAACUACGUG